UACGGAGGGUGCAAGCGUUAUCCGGAUUCACUGGGUUUAAAGGGUGCGUAGGUGGGCAAGUAAGUCAGUGGUGAAAUCUCCGGGCUUAACCCGGAAACUGCCAUUGAUACUAUUUGUCUUGAAUACUGUGGAGGUCAGCGGAAUAUGUCAUGUAGCAGUGAAAUGCUUAGAUAUGACAUAGAACACCAAUUGCGAAAGGCAGCUGACUACACAAAUAUUGACACUGAGGCACGAAAGCGUGGGGAUCAAACAGG
rnacentral:rRNA from 1 species